rnacentral:rRNA from 1 species
AAACUUUCAACAACGGAUCUCUUGGUUCUGGCAUCGAUGAAGAACGCAGCAAAAUGCGAUAAGUAAUGUGAAUUGUAGAAUUCAGUGAAUCAUCGAAUCUUUGAACGCACAUUGCGCCCGCCAGUAUUCUGGCGGGCAUGCCUGUUCGAGCGUCAUUU